rnacentral:rRNA from 1 species
UAUUUGACCUCAAAUCAGGUAGA